AGAGUUUGAUCCUGGCUCAGAACGACCUCUGGCGGCGUGGAUAAGACAUGCAAGUCGAACGAGAGAAUUGCUAGCUUGCUAAUAAUUCUCUAGUGGCGCACGGGUGAGUAACACGUGAGUAACCUGCCCCCGAGAGCGGGAUAGCCCUGGGAAACUGGGAUUAAUACCGCAUAGUAUCGAAAGAUUAAAGCAGCAAUGCGCUUGGGGAUGGGCUCGCGGCCUAUUAGUUAGUUGGUGAGGUAACGGCUCACCAAGGCGAUGACGGGUAGCCGGUCUGAGAGGAUGUCCGGCCACACUGGAACUGAGACACGGUCCAGACACCUACGGGUGGCAGCAGUCGAGAAUCAUUCACAAUGGGGGAAACCCUGAUGGUGCGACGCCGCGUGGGGGAAUGAAGGUCUUCGGAUUGUAAACCCCUGUCAUGUGGGAGCAAAUUAAAAAGAUAGUACCACAAGAGGAAGAGACGGCUAACUCUGUGCCAGCAGCCGCGGUAAUACAGAGGUCUCAAGCGUUGUUCGGAAUCACUGGGCGUAAAGCGUGCGUAGGCUGUUUCGUAAGUCGUGUGUGAAAGGCGCGGGCUCAACCCGCGGACGGCACAUGAUACUGCGAGACUAGAGUAAUGGAGGGGGAACCGGAAUUCUCGGUGUAGCAGUGAAAUGCGUAGAUAUCGAGAGGAACACUCGUGGCGAAGGCGGGUUCCUGGACAUUAACUGACGCUGAGGCACGAAGGCCAGGGGAGCGAAAGGGAUUAGAUACCCCUGUAGUCCUGGCAGUAAACGGUGCACGCUUGGUGUGCGGGGAAUCGACCCCCUGCGCGCCGGAGCUAACGCGUUAAGCGUGCCGCCUGGGGAGUACGGUCGCAAGAUUAAAACUCAAAGAAAUUGACGGGGACCCGCACAAGCGGUGGAGUAUGUGGCUUAAUUCGAUGCAACGCGAAGAACCUUACCUGGGCUUGACAUGUAAUGAACAACAUGUGAAAGCAUGCGACUCUUCGGAGGCGUUACACAGGUGCUGCAUGGCCGUCGUCAGCUCGUGUCGUGAGAUGUUUGGUUAAGUCCAGCAACGAGCGCAACCCCUGUUGCCAGUUACCAGCACGUGAAGGUGGGGACUCUGGCGAGACUGCCCAGAUCAACUGGGAGGAAGGUGGGGACGACGUCAGGUCAGUAUGGCCCUUAUGCCCAGGGCUGCACACGUACUACAAUGCCCAGUACAGAGGGGGCCGAAGCCGCGAGGCGGAGGAAAUCCUAAAAACUGGGCCCAGUUCGGACUGUAGGCUGCAACCCGCCUACACGAAGCCGGAAUCGCUAGUAAUGGCGCAUCAGCUACGGCGCCGUGAAUACGUUCCCGGGUCUUGCACACACCGCCCGUCA
rnacentral:rRNA from 1 species